GGUUUCGUGGUGUAGUUGGUUCAAUACCAGUCUGACGCAUUGGUAGUCCCCGGUUCGAGCACAGUCAAAGUCA